rnacentral:rRNA from 1 species
AUUGAACGCUGGCGGCAGGCUUAACACAUGCAAGUCGAGCGGAGCGAGGGUGCUUGCACCUUAGCUUAGCGGCGGACGGGUGAGUACUGCUUAGGAAUCUGCCUAUUAGUGGGGGACAACAUUCCGAAAGGAAUGCUAAUACCGCAUACGCCCUACGGGGGAAAGCAGGGGAUCUUCGGCCCUUGCGCUAAUAGAUGAGCCUAAGUCGGAGUAGCUAGUUGGUGGGGUAAAGGCCUACCAAGGCGACGAUCUGUAGCGGGUCUGAGAGGAUGAUCCGCCACACUGGGACUGAGACACGGCCCAGACUCCUACGGGAGGCAGCAGUGGGGAAUAUUGGACAAUGGGCGGAAGCCUGAUCCAGCCAUGCCGCGUGUGUGAAGAAGGCCUUUUGGAUGUAAAGCACUUUAAGCGAGGAGGAGGCUCUUAAGGUUAAUACCCUUGAUGAGUGGACGUUACUCGCAGAAUAAGCACCGGCUAACUCUGUGCCAGCCGCCGCGGUAAAAC